rnacentral:rRNA from 1 species
GCGCUGCAUUAGCUAGUUGGUAAGGUAACGGCUUACCAAGGCAACGAUGCAUAGCCGACCUGAGAGGGUGAUCGGCCACACUGGAACUGAGACACGGUCCAGACUCCUACGGGAGGCAGCAGUAGGGAAUCUUCCGCAAUGGGCGAAAGCCUGACGGAGCAACGCCGCGUGAGUGAUGAAGGUCUUCGGAUCGUAAAACUCUGUUAUUAGGGAAGAACAUAUGUGUAAGUAACUGUGCACAUCUUGACGGUACCUAAUCAGAAAGCCACGGCUAACUACGUGCCAGCAGCCGCGGUAAUACGUAGGUGGCAAGCGUUAUCCGGAAUUAUUGGGCGUAAAGCGCGCGUAGGCGGUUUUUUAAGUCUGAUGUGAAAGCCCACGGCUCAACCGUGGAGGGUCAUUGGAAACUGGAAAACUUGAGUGCAGAAGAGGAAAGUGGAAUUCCAUGUGUAGCGG